rnacentral:misc_RNA from 1 species
GAAAUGCGAUAAGUAGUGUGAAUUGCAGAAUUUAGCGAAUCAUCGAAUCUUUGAACGCACAUUGCGCCCCUUGGUAUUCCAUGGGGCAUGCCUGUUCGAGCGUCAUUUCAACCCUCAAGCUUUGCUUGGUGUUGGGCGUCUUGUCGGACUAUCCGACUCGCCUCAAAUACAUUGGCAGCCGGCACUUUGGCCUAGGAGCGCAGCACAUUUUGCGAUCGUAAGCCGUUGUGACAGCAUCCAUAAGAUUUAUUUUACCACGUUUGACCUCGGAUCAGGUAGGGAUACCCGCUGAACUUAAGC